UUUCCGUAGGUGAACCUGCGGAGGGAUCAUUAUUGUAUAACCGAGGUGCACGGGCUGACGCUGACCCGAAAUGCCGUGCCCGCCCGCGUGCACUCACACACUUCCGUCUCACCCCUAUGGACACCACCGCGUGGGUCCCCCUUUGGCUUGUUCGGCGGGGGGCUUCCGUUAUCACACAAACUUUGUAUGCAGUGUAGAAUGUAUUUUUUGUUUUUGCGAUCACGCAAUCAAUACAACUUUCAACAACGGAUCUCUUGGCUCUC
rnacentral:misc_RNA from 1 species